rnacentral:snRNA from 1 species
ACGGCAGUAGCAACGGUAGA